rnacentral:rRNA from 1 species
UACGUAGGGCGCAAGCGUUGUCCGGAAUUAUUGGGCGUAAAGAGCUCGUAGGUGGUUUGUUACGUCUGCUGUGAAAACCUAGGGCUUAACCCUGGGCUGGCAGUGGAUACGGGCAGACUAGAGGUAGGUAGGGGAGAAUGGAAUUCCCGGUGUAGCGGUGAAAUGCGUAGAGAUCGGGAGGAACACCAGUGGCGAAGGCGGCCUUCUGGACCAGCACUGACACUCAAGCACGAAAGCGUGGGGAGCAAACAGG